GAUGAAGAACGUAGCGAAAUGCGAUAAGUAAUGUGAAUUGCAGAAUUCAGUGAAUCAUCGAAUCUUUGAACGCACAUUGCGCCCGCCAGUAUUCUGGCUGGCAUGCCUGUCCGAGCGUCAUUUCAACCCUCGAACCCCUCCGGGGGGUCGGCGUUGGGGAUCGGCCCUUUCACCGGGUGCCGGCCCCUAAAUACAGUGGCGGUCUCGCCGCAGCCUCUCAUGCGCAGUAGUUUGCACACUCGCACCGGGAGCGCGGCGCGUCCUCGUCCGUAAAACACCCCAAACUUCUGAAAUGUUGACCUCGGAUCAGGUAGGAAUACCCGCUGAACUUAAGCAUAUCAAUAAGCGGAGGA
rnacentral:misc_RNA from 1 species